AUUGAACGCUGGCGGCAGGCCUAACACAUGCAAGUCGAGCGGAUGAAGGGAGCUUGCUCCUGGAUUCAGCGGCGGACGGGUGAGUAAUGCCUAGGAAUCUGCCUGGUAAUGGGGGAUAACGUCCGGAAACGGGCGCUAAUACCGCAUACGUCCUAAGGGAGAAAGUGGGGGAUCUUCGGACCUCACGCUAUCAGAUGAGCCUAGGUCGGAUUAGCUAGUUGGUGGGGUAAAGGCCUACCAAGGCGACGAUCCGUAACUGGUCUGAGAGGAUGAUCAGUCACACUGGAACUGAGACACGGUCCAGACUCCUACGGGAGGCAGCAGUGGGGAAUAUUGGACAAUGGGCGAAAGCCUGAUCCAGCCAUGCCGCGUGUGUGAAGAAGGUCUUCGGAUUGUAAAGCACUUUAAGUUGGGAGGAAGGGCAGUAAGUUAAUACCUUGCUGUUUUGACGUUACCAACAGAAUAAGCACCGGCUAACUUCGUG
rnacentral:rRNA from 1 species